CUGGCCCAGCCUGAUGCCCGCUCGAGCCCUAAUCGGACAAGCCUGGGCCGGCGAUUAUGGAGCCGGAGUAGAUGAGCUUGCCGAUCUCGUCGACGGCGCUAAUGCCGCAGUAUAAAGUGGGGCGGCGCACGUUCUCAGGGUCCCUACGCCAGGUAUACCUCCCUCUAAAUGGUGAAAGGUGACGCAUCCGCAAGAAUUUGGAAUGCUACCGUAAGCAAAGAUCCUCCUUCCAUUGUCCUCUCCUGUGGCCUAGAUGUGAUCACAAGAGGCCUGGUCUCUAGCCCGUCUGGAAGUAUAGAAAAUCCUGAUGGCAGUAUGGCCAAGCUACUCGAGUCACACCCGUUCAUCACAGAUUGUGUACCAUCAAUCUCCACAGGAGCAAAAACCACCAUUGACUCAUAAGAGUUGGUGCUACAAUCUUGGAGAACCCAAAUGUUGGUCCUCUCUGAUGAAGUUGUUGUCUGUAGGCUCUGUACAGUUUCUCUAUCUCAGACUUUCGUAGCGAGUUCUCAUGCCGCUCCUGCACUGCCUGAGGGGAGCUUACACCCAUUAAGCAUCAGAGCAGAGAAAUGAUGGUCCAAUGAUCAUAAGUUGAUAUAAUAAAUGUAACUGGCUAGUUUUUCAAAUGGCUACCUUGAUUUGGGUUCGUCGAUUUUGGAACCAGAACUUGACUUGCCUGGCAGAAAGUCCUAGCUGGUUGCUCAAUUGCUGCCUCUGCUUCUCAUCUGGAUGGGGUGAUUCCUUGAACAGCCUGCUUUGACCAUUUACAAUGUCAGAAUUGAUUGUUUGACUUCACUUAUGACAGUCAUUAUUAGCUCUGUUUUCUGGUCUAUAUUCCUGAUCCAAAUUUGACCAGCAUGUUUAUCCUAGAUGUUCA